rnacentral:lncRNA from 1 species
AAAGUGUAAAAUAGAUCCAAAAAGGUGUAAGACCAAGUUGUAAAGUUUGUUUGUGAGAAGACUUGAGCCAUCACUUCCUAGACUUGACAUCAACUUUUUCAACUACUAUCCUUAAAUCAAGAAGCCUUGUUUGGUGGAACUAGUACAAAUCAAGAUCAUCCUUUUUGAGAUUAAACUUACAAAGGACUCAAGACUUAUACUUUCCCUCCAAAAUCAAU